GGAGGGAUAGCGAAGUGGUUAAACGCAGCAGUCUGUAAAACUGUUCCGUAAGGUACGAUGGUUCGAAUCCAUCUCCCUUCACCA
rnacentral:tRNA from 1 species